AGUACAGAUAUCGAGGAAUGUGCAAAUUCCUGCGAGUAUCGAGUAAUCUCAAAAAGCGUGACUCCGAGUGGAUUAUAAAUUUCUCGGGUGAAAAAGAGUGACUCCGAGACAAAAACGAGUGACAAUUUUGUCCGCGGGACUCCGUGAAUCUCGGAGUCAAAAAGAGUGACUCCGAGAAAAUAAGACUGAUUUGGUACACGUAUGCUUUAUUUAUUUAUUUAUUUAUUAAUAUAAUGCUCUACCUCUAAAAUAAAAUCCUUCAACGCAUGUAUUAUUUAUUCAAAAUAACAAUGUUGUCGAAAAUUCUUCGUUGAUGUAAAGUAUCACAAGUGAAAACGAAAGUAGACACACUUGAUUCAUUAAUUAAUUAAAGGAAAGAAUAACCGAUGAUUUCCCGCAAUUCCCGUAACGCGCAGUGUCAAAAACCUAUUUAAUUUAGUAUUCUAAAAUAAGAAAAUAUAGAUGAGCUUCUUUUUUGCAUUGUUUAUACAAAUUUAUAAUUAUUAUGUAAGCAAAAAAAGAAGAAAAAAAAAGGAAAUACAUGGCAAAACAACCACGUGCUUAGGUCGAUUCAUUCCAUUGACAUACUAUCGUAAGGGAAAUUAUACUUUGUACCAGAACUGAAUAAAAAAACAACAUUUUCUUUAAGACAGUUUACAAAUUAUUCUUCAGUGAAAUGCAUCUGCCUUGGAAAGUAAACUUCUGAAAAAGAACAAUAUAGUUCUAACAGAGUUAAGAAGUUCGAUCUGCUAAGCAAUUCUACCGAUGUUGGCAGCACAAGAAAGGACAUCAUUAAGGAAUUCAUUUAUGAAAUUCUACCGAUGUUUGCAGGGGGAAAACAACAGGCACUGCGUCGUCUCAAACAUAAAACCAUGAAUUAUAAAACAGCAACAAGAAAAUUGAGAUUGGCAGUGAUUUUUAAAGGCAUCCC